rnacentral:rRNA from 1 species
AAAAACAUGUCCUUUUGUUAUUUAUUUAAGGUCUAGCCUGCCCAAUGAGGAAUUGAAUGGCCGCAGUAUUCUAACUGUGCUAAGGUAGCAUAAUCAUUUGUCUUUUAAUUGAGGGCUGGAAUGAAAGGUUGGACGAGGCAUUAACUUUCUUUGAUUUAAAUAUAAGAACUUAAUUUUUGAGUUAAAAAGCUUAAAUUUAUUUGUUGGACGAGAAGACCCUAUAGAUCUUUAUAAUUUUAUAUUUUGGUAAUUUGGGGAUUUAAUUAGUUUAGAGUUGAGAAAUUAUUUUGUUGGGGUGACUUUAGAAUUUGAAGAACUUCUAUUUGUUUAGUUCAUUUAUUAAUGUCUUUUUGAUCCAUUUUUUAUGAUUAUAAGAUUAAGUUACCUUAGGGAUAACAGCGUAAUUUUUCCGGAGAGUUCAUAUUGAUGGAGGAGUUUGCGACCUCGAUGUUGGAUUAAAAUAAGUUAUGGAUGCAGAAGUCUAUUUACUAGGUCUG